rfam:Gorilla gorilla gorilla genomic chromosome, chr5, whole genome shotgun sequence
GGAUGUGAGGGUGAUCUGGCUGCAACACAUGUCACCCCAUUGAUCACCAGGGUUGAUUUGGCUGAUCUGGUUGGCUAGGCAGGUGUCCCCUCCCUUCCUCACCGCUCCUCGUGCGUCCCUCCCGAAGCUGCAUGCUCAAAGAGGAUAACCAUCCCUCAUAGAGGAGGACCGACCUUCCAUCAAGGGUAUACGGGUAGCUACCCUCCCCUGCUAGAAACUUCAAACGAGCUCUCAAAGAGGUGGAUUUUUUUUUAUUUUGCUCUUGUUGUUUUGUUAUUGUUUUUUCUUUUUCUUUUGAGAUGGAGUCUCACUCUGUUGCCCAGG